GGAGAAACACCAUUUCCGAGCUUCCCAUUAAUCUGAGGAGUUAAGGAGCGAUCUCCCAAGAACCUCUCGGGAAUAAAAAUCGUAUGGAUUCUUCCACGUGGCCGGAUCUCUGCCUAUAAUAUGGCCCAGUCAAUGAUCCUUUCGAAAAUAUCGAGCCACCAUGUGGUGUAACCAGGCGUCCUCCACCUCACGCCCUGCAGGUCUAACCUCUUGAGCACUGGAAAGUAGUCCGCUGGGUUCGGCUUUCCCUGCCUCCACCAAGCUCUGCCCCACUAAUUCCUUUAACUACCUGGCUGACUCCGAAGUGGUGUCCGCCAGGUCUAAGGAGAGGAUCGUGUUCCCCAGUAGGUUGAGUGAAGUCCUGAAUCUCGCCUGGCCUAUGUUCAUGGAGCUUCCCGUCUCACUGCACUUCCUGAGGUGUUGGCUUGUGUCGAGGUUCUUUGGUGUGAACAGGCACACGUUGCAAAUCCAGCGGGGGUUCCUCCAGAGUGGAUAGACAGGCAUCCAAGCCAGCCCGAGGUCAUGAGACGGCGGAAUGGCACAACUGAAUCGGGGAUAUAAAGCUGUUGGAGAAGGAGACAAUGUGGGUAUAAAGGAUCUACCAUGCCAUUUGAGCCGAGGGGAUGACCAUGGUGGUGAUGUGGCCCAGCUUCAGGCUCAUUAUUGGGCCGUGGGCACUGGCAAGCUUGGUUAGAUACGGGCCUUGGACCUGGAGGCAGCUUUCCACCUUUGCUGGACUUACUUUUGUUGCUGUUGCUUCAGUGGGCUUUGUUGAGACAGCAAUGCAACUCCAAUGAGACUCCAAUGACCUGAAAGACACAGAGAAGGCAAAACUGGGGUAGGUUGUUCGAUUUGGCCCUUCGAUACCGAAAUCAGCAUUGACAAUAACGCACACAGCUAGUAUCCUAGCAAGAUAAAGAGUGGAGAGAAAGGGAGGGAGCAAUGAAUUGUCAGUCGAAAGUAACUACUUGAAUCGGAUCGUUUCAGAUGUAUUUAUAUUCUAAUUCAUGAUCAUAUGGCCUUCAUGGCCCCCAGUUUGAUACAAA